GCAACUGAGAACCUAGUUCACUGGUGUCCAGAUUGACACCAGUCUCAUUAAUAAUGUUUUUUUUUUUCUUUUACAAAAGUUUCCCCUGCCUCAGGCUAUGUAGGCGUCUAGCCCAAGGUGACAGUGAAGUGGCUGGAGAAGCCAGCUGCAAUCAAAGGGCUGUCAAGGAUUUGCCCCUGGAGUUGACAUAACCUCAGUAACUAACCACUUUUGUAAAGAGGUAUUGAUAACUUUAAAAAUCAUAACCUCAAAUCACAGUGUUCUUCCAGAACUGAUAGUUCAACCCUAUCUAUUCAGCAUAUAAAAAACAAAGAAUUUAUGAAAUCUACAAAAAUAGCCUGUAAGUAUUUGGGAAUGAGCUAUCUCCAUAAAUCCAUAAAUAUACCACAUGUCCACUCCUCUUUGGCUGGGUCCACCUUUGUGCACUUGGCAGAUGCUGACUCUGAGCCCGCAAAGUGUCAGACACUCUAAGAGUGGGGCAGCAUGGAUGAAAAAGGCUCAGUGUCUUCUUCAUAUAACUCAGCAGAUGUAUAAACCAGUUAGAGCAGAUUGUCAAGCUAGUAGAACACACAGUUUGAUUGUUGUUCCAUUGAUUUGGGAUUGGUUUUAUAUUGAUUUGGCAGAAAAAUUCUAUAGCAUGGUCUGCCUGACUCCCAGUCCCAUAUGUUCUAUCUUGGCACGUGCAAUCACUCAACCCCCCACCUACACACUGAACUGUCUCAUUAACUGUAGUAAAUAAAGGGCCCAAUUAAGUUAGUUCCCUCAAACCAGCCAUGCCAACGACUGUGUCCAGCUUUGGUAACCCACCACUUGGUAAGUACUGCUCUCCUGAGCUUCACUUCCUUCACUUCUCCUUCAGCUCCCUAUUCUUUGUUUCCUACCACUGAACCAUCUGGACAAGCCACAGACCCCAUUCGUCUAUUUGAUGUUUGAUAAAGUGUGGUCGAUGAACACCUACAACAGAAUCACUUGCUUUCUGGGCCCCGUCUACACCAGCAGAAUCAAAGUGGGGUGGAGGGUAAGAGAGAGAGAAAAAGAAUGAGUUUUAGGGUGGUAUGUCUGAGUCUGAAUUUUACAAAGUGCCCUCAAAAUGAUUUCUCCAUUUUAUAGGAUUCUGAAUUCUCCUGGUUUUCCUCUUACCUCAACUGUUCAUUCUUUGUCAGUCUUGUUUGCUGGUUCUUUUUUAUCUUCUGGCUGAAACUGACCUGCCAGCAUUUCAGCUCAUCUAGCAAUUCCAUCUCAAGAAGAUAUCGGAGUUCUUGUCAGUCUACAAUAAAGUUGUCACUGUGCUUUCCUGAUUUCUUCAGGGAAACAUCUGCAUCCUUGAACCUCUCAUAAUGAAGCACUGUCAAAUUACUGAAGGACUACACAUCAUCCAAUAACUAACCUGGAAAGAUCACUUGCCAAUGGCUCCAUGCCACGACAAACAGAUGUUGUCUCUGUCACCUACCUGAAAAAGAGGUCAAAUGUUCCACAACAGACACACUCUGCUGUCCGCCUUGUGGAUAUACAUUAGUCAUUUAAUAACCUUUUCGUUUUACCCUGUAUGAAAAUCAGAGGUAGUUUUCAGUUUAUUGAGUGACAUAUCAGAUCAUUUUAAAAGCAGACUUAUCUUUAGAGUAAUUAUGCAAUUGAAUCUGACUUCAAGAUUGGAGGACUGCAAAUAGCUUGUCAGAAUGCACGUCAAUUGGCCCUGCCUUUUACGUUCAUGACAGUUAUAUGAACACUGUAAUCAGUCUUGCCAAAAUAUACAAAAAUAAAUUUCAUAUUAAUAAA